CGCGGGCGGGUUUGGGGCUUCGUGGCAGCUGUUGCUUGGGCAUCCCUCGGUGAGCAGCGCACCCCCCCCCGACCCCGCUCUCCCUGGGCACCAACCACCCUCCUCUUGCAACCAAAUCCCCGGUUCCCACCCGGAUUAAACCCACAGUGUCGGAGGAAUCCUCAAAAUCCAUCCACCCCCAGCCCUGCCAGCACCCGCCUACUCUUGCCCUGCGUGGAGAGCGACACAAACCCUUGGCUGAAAGGAGCUCUGACGCUCCAGCUUCACUAAAAUCAGUUUAUAUUUGCCUCUCAGGACUUUCCCUUUCCCGUCCUCCUCUGCUCACCCCGCUCUUUGCAGGGGUGUGUAAUCUCCCACUCAUCCGCUCCGGGAACGAGGGCGGUGGCAGGAGGUGACACUCCAGAUUCAUCUCCAACCGCCAGCGCUUGAGGGCCGGUGUCACGCAGCAUUUCCCUGAACGAGCCCUGGGGAAGGGGAAGGGAAAGGGGAAGAAGCCGCACACGCUCGAGGCUGACGGGAGCUGCUCUGCAGCACGAGAACCAGCCCCAGCGCUGUGGCCUCGGCAAGCGGCGGCUCCACAUGACGCUCCACACGGCGCCUUCCAGCCCGCAUCCAGCGGAAGAGGAGGAAAAUAAAUUUGUUUCCUCUUUUAAAUAGGCUGGAAUUUGCACUGGCUCAAGCUGGGUCAGGGGCGAUGCUGAGGGAUGCUCGUGUUUCCCCGGGAUGCCCCGGUGCAAUGGGGACAGGGGGACAGAGGUUGUAGCCGUUCCCCUGAUGGAUCAGCUACAAGGGAGCUCAGCGUGCGUGUGGAAAUCACAGCUCUGCUUUCCCCAGCAUCCCUCCUCCUCCUCCUCCUUUAUCCCGUGUGGUGUUUUGGGGGUCAGGAGGGGCCACACACACACACACACACACCCCAGCCCUAGGGAAACCCCUGCUUGAAGCACAGCGGUACCUGCAGCUCUGGGGUUAAAGAGCCCAAAAGGAGGAUUUUCCAUGCAGAGGGAUUUGUGGACAUUCCCGUCAUCCUUUCUGCCCGUUACCUCCCAGCUCGAGUGACAGAAGGAAGCACCAAAUCAGCACAGAAACGCCCGCUGGCACCGGAGGAUUGCUCUGCUCAGCACCGGGAUCAGCUGGGGGCUGGUUUGCUCCAAACGAAAGGAUUUAUCAGAAGAUGAUGGCAAAGCUGGGAAAGGACCAGUUUGGCUUCUUUAUCCUGGGGCAUCUCCCAGCGACCAGCAAAACCGCCCCAAAAAUCCACAUUCUGCAGGACGGAAGGGGCAGCAUGUGCUUUUGGGGAUUGCCCAAGGGAGCAGUUCCACAUCACGGAGGGGAUUUAGGGUCCCUGAAGAUCCAGCCCAGGUGUUGGAAGAGCCAGCCGUGUCAUUCCUGGGGUGUCCAGUGAGUCGUUUGGGGAAUUUACUGGAUCAUUUCUGGGCUGGUUUUCCCCCCUGCAGGAAGCAGGGCUGGAUGUGAGCCUUGGCAACUCCCCAUCACGCUGCCAGUCUCUCACUCUCAUCCAUGUGGGAAUAGUGGUGGUAGCAUCCGACUCAAAUGACUAAUUUCUGAGCAGCUGGAACAUCUGGGAACAACCUAAACAGCCCACAUUGGCCCAAUUUCCCAGCCACAGAGAUCCACGGCUUCAGCCUUGGUUUUGGUAGAGUUUGGAAUAACUACAGGCGCUUGGAUUCAUGCCCCAUCCUUUCCUGCCCCAAAUCACCCAUCAAGGAGAAGUUACCCUUUAUCAGGAUUUUUCCAAAUCCCCAACAAAUCGGGGUCAUCUCUGUGCCCUGCACCUUCACCUAUCCUCCUCUUUCUUCCCUAGAUGUCAAGGGGGAAGAAAUGGGCUCAGGGCAGACCCUGAUUCCCCCCCACACCUGGUGGUACUGGGGCUGCACCCAUCUGCAGCAUCCCUGGCAGAAGGAUCUUAAAAAAUAUUAUUUGCUGGAGCUUUGGAAAGGAGCUUUUGAUUGGUUUAAUUGAUGGAGGAAUUGAGCAGGGAGCAGAAACGCAGUAAAAUAAAUCAGCAGCACGUUUUCACCCCCUUUUCCACCCCCCAAAGCUGGUUUGGGAGCAGAACGGCUUUGCAAGAGUUGGGAAAAGCGAGAAAAUUCCCCCCUCCCCAUCUGUUUGCUUUUAAACAGGCUCUUUUUAAGGAAAAAAAAAAAAAAAAAGCUGGAGGGCUGUGAACAGCACCCGAAACCAAGCGGGGAUGGGUUAUUCAUGCGCAGGCACUAUCCGAGGGGCAGGAUCCACCACUCCACACCCCGCGGGACUAAAGAGCAGCAACUCUCCGGACUAUAAAUCCCCAGAUUCCCUGGAUCUCCCCAGCCGGGCUGUUAUUGAGAUGCAGGGAGCAGGGGAGAAGGUGACCGCCGACUCCAUAAAUAUUAUUGGGGGCGACGGGGCUGCGCGGGGCCGGCGGGCGCAGACAAAGCGCCCAUUGAGCUGUCGGCGGAGGCGCGACGGCCCAGCUGCCGCGGGGAGCCAGGACGGGGGUCAAGGUCAGAGGUGGCCCCUGCUUGUAUUAUUCCCCCCCCAGCUUCUUUCCUUGUGACCGUAAAAUUAAUAAAAAUUAACCGGGUAUGACCGGCUCAGCAUGCCCACAGAGGAUGCCAGGAGAAAUGGGUGGCAGCAGGAGGGGAAACUGAGGCACUGGGCAAGAGCCCAGCACUGCACCCACUCUGCGGUGUCUUGGGGACCCUUUUGUGAGUCUGUUUAAUAACAUAUAUGCUUAAAUGGGUGUAGAUUUGACAUCCCCAGCUCCGUGCUGGAGCAACCCCAGGGUCACGCCAACGUGGCCAGGAAGCUCGUGCCCACCCCAAUCACCCAGCACCCUGCCCAGUUCUCCCAGUGCUGGGGUUUUUCUCCAUGUGGAUGGAGAACUGGAGCCUUCAGCUGCGUGUGGGAGCUGUGGCCGGGGCAGCCCCAUCCACCCCCAGGACUGGAGGUUCAAUCCUGCUGCCACAUAAACUUAGAUUUUUGGAAUAUUUUACUCCCUAUUAAGCAAUCCCUUAGCAACGCUUGUUUCCAUGGCAAAGAGCAGAGAACCUCCAUGCUGAUGCUGAGCUUUGCCUUAAACUAUAGUUCAGAUUUUUUUAUUUGGGUGCUGCCCCACAGGCCAGGUCCCCAGUACCCAUGGGGGCUGCCCUCCUGGGAUGGACCAUGGGUCCCAGUUCUGGGCUCUGAGCCGGGCUGGGGACACAGAACAAGGAGGAUUUACCUGGGAACAGAAGGCGUGCAGCAUGCAGAGCCUCUUCUUAAAAAAAAAAAAAAAAAAGGGUGCUCGGGGCACACUGUGCACCCCAAAAAAGCUGGUCUCCAGUUCUGGCACUCUCAGGGUUUAAAGGCAGAGCCGUGCCCAGCUGCGGGGCAGCCCAGGCUUCCAAAAUUUCACUAAUGAGCCCAGCCACUGGCGGGGCCGCCGGCUUUCCUUGCUUCCCUGCUUUAAUGAACUUGAACAAGGUGCAGGACACUGGGACAGGGCUGGGUGCUGGUGGGUGCUGCAGCCCCAAACCAAAUGGGGGGGGACAGGGGAUUUAGUGGUGGUUGGCACUGCACAGUGAGAGCUGCCUGUCCAGCAGCCUCGCGUUCCCAAAGGGGCACGUGAGUCACUUGAACAUUGGGGUUCCUGCAGAAAAUCCACGUGGAAAGGGUAUUUGUUCAUUGUCAAAAAAGCCCAGCUGCGUUCUGUGCCCCACUUGGUGUUUUCAAAGAAAUGGGUUGAAUUCUGCUAUUUCCAUCCUCAGUGGGAAAAAAAAAAAAAAAAAAAGAAAACCUCUACUUGGGAGUGAUGGCAGGUUCCUGGGAUGGACCCUCCGUGGGGAUUUGCCCUCCAGAAAUCACCCAGAGUCCCCAUUUUUUAUCCCAGAGCCCCAAAUCAACAUUCCCGUGGGUGUAAGACCCCCGACAGACCUGGCACUGCUGGGUUUGCCCAUCUCCAUGCCCGGGAGGAGAAAGGAAACUCCUUCCUCGCUGUGCUUUUAUUUUGCUGCAGUGGUAACGAAUUCUUGCAGCGGUUCAUGCCCUGAAGGAGCCUUAAAACCUCCCAAAUUUGACAGCCAAAAAUAGCUAUCGCUCUGCUUGUUUCCAAGUGUUCACUAGCCCUGAUUUAUUUACCCCAGUUAUUUGAAUCCAUCUCACGCUUUGAAUCCCAAAUCCUAAGCAGGAUGGAAAAAAAAAA